CCAGAAUCUAUUUCUUCUUCGAGCAACUUGGACACUAGUUCAUUGCUCAUUUUGGUAACGGCCAAGUCCAAUCAAGGACUUUGGAUAGUCUUUUCUCCUUCGACUAGGAGGAGAGAGAAUCUCUGCAUGGCUACAUGAUGUGCUUUAGUGCAGUCACAUUGGAGGUGCACCAUCUUAAUGAAGCUGUCACUAUGUCGGCUUUGAAGCGGGGCCUUCGUAAUAAGCACCUCAUAUACUCCCUUGACAAAAUAUAUCCAAAGGACUAUGCUAGUCUCCUGAUCCGAUCUCGUAAAUACAUACAGGACGAAGAAGGCCGGAUCACAUGCC
rnacentral:lncRNA from 1 species